AUACGGAGGAUGCGAGCGUUAUCCGGAUUUAUUGGGUUUAAAGGGAGCGUAGGUGGGAUAUUACGUCAGCUGUGAAAGUUUGGGGCUCAACCUUAAAAUUGCAGUUGAUACUGGUUUCCUUGAGUCCGGUAUAGGUGGGCGGAAUUCGUGGUGUAGCGGUGACAUGCUUAGAUAUCACGAAGAACUCCGAUCGCGAAGGCAGCUCACCGGGCCGGAACUGACACUGAUGCUCGAAAGUGCGGGUAUCAAACAGGAUUAGAUACCCUGGUAGUCCGCACAGUAAACGAUGAAUACUCGCUGCUUGCGAUACACUGUAAGCGGCCAAGCGAAAGCGUUAAGUAUUCCACCUGGGGAGUACGCCGGCAACGGUGAGACUCAAAUGAAUUGGCGGGG
rnacentral:rRNA from 1 species